rnacentral:rRNA from 1 species
UACAGGGGGUGCAAACGUUGCUCGGAAUCAUUGGGCGUAAAGCGCACGUAGGCGGUCUGUUAUGUCGGAUGUGAAAGCCCUCGGCUCAACUGAGGAAGUGCAUCCGAAACUGGCAGGCUAGAGUACUAAAGAGGGUCGCGGAAUUCCCGGUGUAGAGGUGAAAUUCGUAGAUAUCGGGAGGAACACCGGUGGCGAAGGCGGCGACCUGGGUAGAUACUGACGCUGAGGUGCGAAAGCUGGGGGAGCAAACGGG